GGCAGGGUGUGGAAGCGUAGCAAUAUGUUAAGCUGACCUGUACUAAUAUGUCGAGGGCUUGACUUA
rnacentral:rRNA from 1 species